rnacentral:rRNA from 1 species
AGGUGACCUGCGGAGGGAUCAUUACACAAAUAUGAAGGCGGGCUGGAACCUCUCGGGGUUACAGCCUUGCUGAAUUAUUCACCCUUGUCUUUUGCGUACUUCUUGUUUCCUUGGUGGGUUCGCCCACCACUAGGACAAACAUAAACCUUUUGUAAUUGCAAUCAGCGUCAGUAACAAAUUAAUAAUUACAACUUUCAACAACGGAUCUCUUGGUUCUGGCAUCGAUGAAGAACGCAGCGAAAUGCGAUAAGUAGUGUGAAUUGCAGAAUUCAGUGAAUCAUCGAAUCUUUGAACGCACAUUGCGCCCUUUGGUAUUCCAAAGGGCAUGCCUGUUCGAGCGUCAUUUGUACCCUCAAGCUUUGCUUGGUGUUGGGCGUCUUGUCUCUAGCUUUGCUGGAGACUCGCCUUAAAGUAAUUGGCAGCCGGCCUACUGGUUUCGGAGCGCAGCACAAGUCGCACUCUCUAUCAGCAAAGGUCUAGCAUCCAUUAAGCCUUUUUUUCAACUUUUGACCUCGGAUCAGGUAGGGAUACCCGCUGAACUUAAGCAUAUCAAUAAGCGGAGGAAAAGAAACCAACAGGGAUUGCCCUAGUAACGGCGAGUGAAGCGGCAACAGCUCAAAUUUGAAAUCUGGCUCUUUUAGAGUCCGAGUUGUAAUUUGCAGAGGGCGCUUUGGCUUUGGCAGCGGUCCAAGUUCCUUGGAACAGGACGUCACAGAGGGUGAGAAUCCCGUACGUGGUCGCUGGCUAUUGCCGUGUAAAGCCCCUUCGACGAGUCGAGUUGUUUGGGAAUGCAGCUCUAAAUGGGAGGUACAUUUCUUCUAAAGCUAAAUAUUGGCCAGAGACCGAUAGCGCACAAGUAGAGUGAUCGAAAGAUGAAAAGCACUUUGGAAAGAGAGUCAAACAGCACGUGAAAUUGUUGAAAGGGAAGCGCUUGCAGCCAGACUUGCUUACAGUUGCUCAUCCGGGUUUCUACCCGGUGCACUCUUCUGUAGGCAGGCCAGCAUCAGUUUGGGCGGUAGGAUAAAGGUCUCUGUCACGUACCUCCUUUCGGGGAGGCCUUAUAGGGGAGACGACAUACUACCAGCCUGGACUGAGGUCCGCGCAUCUGCUAGGAUGC